GUUCCUUCGGGAACGAGUAAAGUGGCGCACGGGUGAGUAAUACAUGGGUAAUCUGCCUCUAAGUUGAGGAUAACUCCGCGAAAGUGGAGCUAAUACUGGAUAAGACCACACCUCGUACGCGAGGAGAGGUAAAAGAUGACCUCUACAUGUAAGUUGUCGCUUAGAGAUGAACUCAUGGACUAUUAGCUUGUUGGUAGGGUAAUGGCCUACCAAGGCGACGAUAGUUAGCCAACCUGAGAGGGUGAUUGGCCACACUGGAACUGAGACACGGUCCAGACUCCUACGGGAGGCAGCAGUGAGGAAUAUUGCGCAAUGGGGGAAACCCUGACGCAGCAACGCCGUGUGAGUGAUGAAGGCCUUUGGGUUGUAAAACUCUGUCAGAUAAGAAGAAACUUCAGGGAUUAAUAGUCUCUGAAGCUGACUGUACUAUCAGAGGAAGCCCCGGCUAACUCCGUGCCAGCAGCCGCGGUAAUACGGAGGGGGCAAGCGUUGUUCGGAAUUAUUGGGCGUAAAGGGCGUGUAGGUGGUUUUGCAAGUCAGGCGUGAAAGCCCUCUGCUCAACAGAGG
rnacentral:rRNA from 1 species